ACGGAAGGCAGCAGUCGGGAAUAUUGCACAAUGGGGGAAACCCUGAUGCAGCGACGCCGCGUAAAGGAAGAAGGUCUUCGGAUUGUAAACUUUUGUCUACAGGGAAGAAGAAAGUGACAGUACCUGUGGAGGAAGCCCCGGCUAACUACGUGCCAGCAGCCGCGGUAAUACGAAGGGGGCGAGCGUUAUCCGGAAUUACUGGGUGUAAAGGGUGCGUAGGCGGGACUCUAAGUCUGAUGUGAAAUACCAAGGCUCAACUGUGGAACUGCAGCGGAAACUGGGAGCCUAGAGUGCGGGAAGGGAAAGCGGAAUUCUCAGUGUAGCGGUGAAAUGCGUAGAUAUUGAGAGGAACACCGGUGGCGAAGGCGGCUUUCUGGACCGUAACUGACGCUGAGGCACGAAAGCGUGGGUAGCAAACAGGAUUAGAUACCCUGGUA
rnacentral:rRNA from 1 species